CACACGCAGUAGCCGACCUAGGGUUUCUUGCGAUCUGGAUCUGGCCCUCAACCUGCCCUUCCUCGAUCGGCAAAUCGCAGGUGAUCUGGAUUUUUUUCCCCUCACAUGUGUUCUCUGCGGUGUGGUUCUUCGGUGCUUUGCGGAUUAAAAGAUGGUUAUGGCUUCCGAUCAGUUUCUUGCGGCUGUUCCACCGAUUGGUUCGUUCUGUUCUUGCUGCCGAGGAAGCACUGCAGGCGCGGAAGCAGAUCUGCGGCUUGAAGUUCGGAUCGACGGGCGUCUUCGAUGCACAAACUCCAGUUGCCAGGAAAAUAGACGUUGUUUGCCUGAAUGAUUAAGUUCUUGCUCAGAACUUAUCAGUUGUAAAGGAGUGGAUGCCUCUUGGGGAUCAGAACAAGACGGAUGGGCUGGGUUCUUGAUGAUAGACUGGGAAGAUAAAUGCGGUUUCAUGGCGAUAUCAGCAAUAUCCCGAUUCAACCGCUGCAUAUUCAAUUGUCCAUUGCCUACGCAUCCAUUCCAAGUGGUGAAAUCAUGGGGUCCCCAGCAAUUUGAACCAUCUUUCUGAAAUGAUAAGGUACAAUUCUUAUAAAGACUCAGUAGCUCAGUUUGGUAUUUGCUUAACAUGAUUAGUGGAUUAAUUCUUUAGUGAUAUGAGACAGACGUAUACAUGUUAAUUUCGUCGCAAUCUGACUGAAGAGGAGCAAGUUUUUUGAUAAAAAGCAACUUGAGUGAAAGAAAAAUAGAAUUCCAUGAAUCUUUAUUCGUUUUAGGGUGCAUUGGAUAGAAUGGAAUGAAAUGGUUCAUUUACUCUGAUUUAUUCAUUAUUCCACUACAUUAAAGUAUAUCCCAAUGUCAAAUUAUCAUUUCAAAACUAAAUGUAGAUAAAUUAUAUGAGUGACUUGGACUGAUUUGACCAUCAAUAUUGGGUCAAUCCUAUCUAGUAAGACAAUCUGGCUGGCUAAUUCAAUUGAGUGAGCUUGUUGGUUGGUUUGAUCUUAUGGAUCAACCAAGCUUUGCAUGCCAGAAAGACAAGUAACUCUGGCACAUUGAACUUAUCAAAACCAAGUAAUAUUGACUAUGCAUGAUUAAAACAAAAUAAUGAAUAUAAAUUGAUUAUUCCUCUUAAUUUCAUUCCGUUCCUUUAGUUUUAUUCUAAUUAUAUUUCAUUCGAUUAUACUCUAUUAAAUUUACUCAGUACUUGGGUACAUUCAUUACAAUUUUGGUUCAUUAUUUUGCAGACUGAUUCAUUUAAGAAAUAAAGAUUAUCAAAUUUGCAUACUUUUUUUUUGAACGUACAUAUCACUGGUAUUGAUAGAUGUGGUUCCUCUUCGUAAUUCACGGUGUGUGACUUAAUCAUUGUAAAUAGUUUCUCAAAUAUGGUAAAUUGCAAAGUUUUUAUUGUCACUAAUAAUUGAUAGCAAAUGGUACCUUACAUCAAAUUGUUAUAACUAGUUAGAAAUGUUUAAUAUGGAUCAAUGUCUUAAGAAGUAAUUUUUCAAAUGGCAAUCAAUUUGUUGUUUCUUAAAAAUAAAUUUUUGUAGUUAAUAUCCCUCCAUUAGUGCCAUAUCCUCAUAUACAGUUGGUAAAACUUAACCAAGGCUAAAUAUGUUGAAACAAUUACAUUCAUGGGUUCAAAUAUAUUCUCAAUUUCAUGAUUGAUGUUGUGAUUGUUUAAAAUUUUACUGUCAUAUCUUCUGUACAGUUGUAAAUUCGGGUCUGGUUGGGUGACGGGUUUGUUGGGAAAAAUGUGUAAACAUGAUUGGGGUAAUUGUGAAUAUAAAAUCAUGUAGUAGAAAAGGCUCCUAUGCUCUACUCAUUACAUGGAUUACAACAGUCUUGAGAGUUCCUGUCUACGGGGGUAAAGAUUUUGCAGCUGAAGCUCUCUAGAAGUUUGUCAAUUGUAUUCAAUGUUACAGAUAUUGCUGCCAAAGAUUGUCUGUAGUUCUGUCAAUUGAGUUUGAGAUUGAAGAUUUUGCUGCUUUCUAAAGCUGUCAAUUGAACCCGAGGCGCAUGUAAAAUAACUGGAAAAGACUUGGAAGUCAUCUCACCUUUAAUUUCGGUGGAAUUCAAUUUGCGGCUUGGGUGAACCUUGUACAGCAUCUGUGGCAAUUUCGUUUCGCCUUUUAGAUGUUAACAGUUCUAUGGAAAUUGUUUUUUAAACUGCUUUAACCUUGCACAUUA